UAGAGUUAAGAGUUCUCAAGGUGGCUUCUCU
rnacentral:piRNA from 1 species